rnacentral:rRNA from 1 species
UACGUAGGGGGGCUAGCGUUGUCCGGAAUCAUUGGGCGUAAAGCGCGCGUAGGCGGCCCGGUAAGUCCGCUGUAAAAGUCAAAGGCUCAACCUUUGAAUGUCAGUGGAUACUGCCGGGCUAGAGUCCGGAAGAGGCGAGUGGAAUUCCUGGUGUAGCGGUGGAAUGCGCAGAUAUCAGGAGGAACACCAACGGCGAAGGCAGCUCGCUGGGACGGUACUGACGCUAAGGCGCGAAAGCGUGGGGAGCGAACAGG